rnacentral:rRNA from 1 species
UGGGGAAUUGUUCGCAAUGGGCGCAAGCCUGACGACGCAACGCCGCGUGGAGGAUGAAGGUCUUCGGAUUGUAAACUCCUGUCGAACGGGACGAACACCUUCCGGGUUAAUACUCCGGGAGGCUGACGGUACCGUGAGAGGAAGCCCCGGCUAACUCUGUGCCAGCAGCCGCGGUAAUACAGAGGGGGCAAGCGUUGUUCGGAAUUACUGGGCGUAAAGGGCGCGUAGGCGGCCUUCUAAGUCAGACGUGAAAUCCCUCGGCUCAACCGGGGAACUGCGUCUGAGACUGGAAGGCUUGAAUCCGGGAGAGGGAUGUGGAAUUCCAGGUGUAGCGGUGAAAUGCGUAGAUAUCUGGAGGAACACCGGUGGCGAAGGCGGCAUCCUGGACCGGUAUUGACGCUGAGGCGCGAAAGCCAGGGGAGCAAACGGG